AGAGUUUGAUCCUGGCUCAGGAUAAACGCUGGCGGCGCACAUAAGACAUGCAAGUCGAACGGACUUAACCAUUAGUUUACUAUUGGGGCGGUUAGUGGCGGACUGGUGAGUAACACGUAAGCAACCUGCCUGUUAGAGGGGAACAACAGUUAGGAAUGACUGCUAAUACCGCAUAUGCCUUGAGUAUCGCAUGGUACAAGAGGGAAAGGAGCAAUCCGCUAACAGAUGGGCUUGCGUCUGAUUAGAUAGUUGGUGGGGUAACGGCCUACCAAGUCGACGAUCAGUAGCCGG
rnacentral:rRNA from 1 species